CAACUACUCCCUCUGUCCCAAAUUUCUUGUNNNNNUAGAUACGGAUGUAUCUAAUACUAAAAUGUGACUUGAUACAUCUGUAUCUAGACAAAUCUAAGACAAGAAUUUUGGGACGGAGGGAGUACUUU
rnacentral:pre_miRNA from 1 species